rfam:Chaetomium globosum CBS 148.51 scaffold_5 genomic scaffold, whole genome shotgun sequence.
GGCUGGAUGGCCGAGUGGUCUAAGGCGGUAGACUCAAGAAAAUAUCUUCCCCAUUCAAUGGGGCGUAUUCUACUCUCGCAAGAGGCGCGCGUUCGAAUCGCGCUCCAGUCA